rnacentral:rRNA from 1 species
CCUACGGGAGGCAGCAGUGGGGGAUAUUGGACAAUGGGGGAAACCCUGAUCCAGCGACGCCGCGUGAGUGAAGAAGUAUUUCGGUAUGUAAAGCUCUAUCAGCAGGGAAGAAAGACAUGACGGUACCUGAGUAAUAAGCCCCGGCUAACUACGUGCCAGCAGCCGCGGUAAUACGUAGGGGGCAAGCGUUAUCCGGAUUUACUGGGUGUAAAGGGAGCGUAGACGGCGAUGCAAGUCUGAAGUGAAAGGCGGGGGCCCAACCCCCGGACUGCUUUGGAAACUGUAUGGCUGGAGUGCAGGAGAGGUAAGUGGAAUUCCUAGUGUAGCGGUGAAAUGCGUAGAUAUUAGGAGGAACACCAGUGGCGAAGGCGGCUUACUGGACUGUAACUGACGUUGAGGCUCGAAAGCGUGGGGAGCAAACAGGAUUAGAUACCCGAGUAGUC